rnacentral:rRNA from 1 species
UCGAGAAUUUUUCCCAAUGGGCGAAAGCCUGAGGGAGCGACGCCGCGUGGAGGAUGAAGGUCUUCGGAUUGUAAACUCCUGUCAUUCGGGAACAAUGGUUGCCGGUUAACUGCCGGCAGCUUGAUAGUACCGGAAGAGGAAGGGACGGCUAACUCUGUGCCAGCAGCCGCGGUAAUACAGAGGUCCCAAGCGUUGUUCGGAAUCACUGGGCGUAAAGGGUGCGUAGGCGGCGGGGUAAGUCGGAUGUGAAAUCUCGGGGCUCAACCCCGAAACUGCAUUCGAUACUGCCUCGCUCGAGGACUGGAGAGGAGACUGGAAUUUACGGUGUAGCAGUGAAAUGCGUAGAUAUCGUAAGGAAGGCCGGUGGCGAAAGCGGGUCUCUGGACAGUUCCUGACGCUGAGGCACGAAGGCCAGGGGAGCAAACGG